GGGCCGUUAGCUCAGUUGGUAGAGCAGCUGACUCUUAAUCAGCAUGUCCGGCGUUCGAGUCGCCGACGGCCCACCA
rnacentral:tRNA from 1 species